CUAAUUUGAUUAAUUUCAUCAAUUCACGGCAUUAGGCGAUGCAGUGCUAUAUUGAUCUACCUUCAAAAGAAAGAAUGGACAAUUCAGGACAACCGGGUGGUUUAUUAAAUGGAGCACUUUUCUUUUCUUCCUUUGUCAGAUCUCUUCCUUCACGAAGUUUCCCUGCAUAUUUUAUAAAUGCUGCUUGUAUAGCGUGUUCGUUUGAACAAGCACCACAAGUUGUUGUGAAAACACAUGGCAGUCCCUUCGGGGCUACCUGAUAAAAUUAUACAUGUCUGGAACACCGCCUUUUAUGGUAUAGUUUGCAUUCUAACUGCUGAAGGUGUCUUACGCAUGGUUGAAGUAAUGUAUCCUGAAGUUUCUGUGGCCAUUCCAAUCCAGGAAAUAGUCCUAAUGCCGGCCUAUUUGCCAUGAUGCGCUACAAUUUUAUAUUAUAUUAAUAUUCAUGGCCAGUGUAUAGACUGUAUAUAACAAUUUCACAUUUUGUAAUGAAUUUACCUGAUUUCCUUCACACGAUAGAGCACCCAAGAUUGAUCGGUGAUUAUACCCAAGAGGAAGAGUAGAAAUUUGCAUAAACAUGUCCAAGAAAACGUUUCCAUCGAUAUCUGCUAGAAAGUUCAUCGAGGAGAGCUUCUGAUCUUGGUCCAGGAAUGUCUGUGAGCGUGUACGGUUUUGAUGGUUCUCCAGGCAAAGGUGCUUUUGGCAUGCGAUGAAACUCUGCAAGUAUCAUUGAAUUUUUAUGCAUCACACUUUAACAAUAACAGCAAUAUUUCAUUAUACAAUGAUUUCCAACAUAUUUACUUUAUACUUACGGCUAGCAUGUGGACCUUUUCUAAGAGAGUUUGAUACAGUUUUGAACAUGUUGCGGAAAAUGUUUGUAUUUCUUAACUGUUAUCACUGAUUGUGAAAAGUUGAUACGUAUACAAUAUGCGCAUAACGCGCACCUUCGAUUCGCACUGAGUAAAAAGAUAUUCAAACAAAGUUUAAAAAAAAACGACAAUAAAAUAUAUAUAUGUAUAAUUCUUUUACAUGAAUGACAUAUUCUUGCUUUUGUUUUAAAUUACGACAGAAGAAAGUAAACGCAUGUUGAUGCACGUUUUAGUAAGGAUUAAACUUCAAAGUGGUACGAAAGUCUAACGUCUAUCCGACAAUAAAAGAGAAAAGAUGGUACACACACAGAGAGAGAAAGAGAGAGAAAGAGAGAGAGAGAUAGAGAGACAGACAUUGUUUCUUUGUACAUACGUGAGACGAAAUGAAAUGUACACUACUGAACGGUAUUAAUUGUAAGAUUCCGUGUCAAGUUUCAUGAAGCCACUGUCAUACAGCAGUUUUAUUAUUUUGUAAGCAAUUACAAAUUAAAAAAGAAAUAAACACCUUGUUACAUGAUUAAUAAGCGAAGGAGUGAAAAUGGAGCAGCGUAAAAUAUACACGGCUGCGAUCCCCUCUCUUCACCCGGUUUUUACACUUCAGUAGCAUGCCAGAACUUACACGGCUAAAUAUCUAAUACACGUCUGAUAUCGUUUCUACAAUUUUUUUUACAGAAGAAACAUUAUUCCGAUACACAUCGUCGAACAUGUCGCGCGUCUACGUAAGAAAGGAAUCCCCCCCCGACAGAAUGAUCGUAGCCCGGCCGACAUCGCCAUCGAUGGAUUCAUGGCUCCAACGGUGAUCCGACGUAUCUUAGAAACGAUCAGGCGAUAUAACGUGCGUCUUGUCGAGAUACCAACGGGGUUCGGUUGUCCAGAUCCAACGGGAGGUCUUUCGUUUGCCUCGGAAUAUAAAUAAAGCUAGUACACGACGUUGUUUCUCGAUCGGCGCAUCAAUCCGCUCGCAAGUAUCUUAGCACGAAUACUUAUUAAUAUUAUACGUUAUUAAUAUUUGUUCGUAAGUCUACAGAAGUUGGAAGUGUUCCGAGGCAACGUGAAACAAUUCCCAGCUAUAUACGCGUUCGUUCUGUCAUCUGAACAACCGAACCGUUCGGUUUUAUCGUCGCCCGAAAUAAAAUUCCGUUUAAAAAUCACACUCGCCUUAACUCUUUGCUAUGCGUCGUCGAUCGGACGUAGUUUAAUAGAAAUUUACAUGGAACGUCGAGGAACGUUAGAAGCAGCAAAGAACAUAGCAAAGAAUUAAGAGCGUGGAACGAAAUUGAACAAUGAAUAUCGGUUAUUCGAAGGGUAAGAUUUUAAAAGAAAAUUUGUUGCAAUAAUAAAAAGGUGCAUUGUGUGUUUGUGUGUGUGUGUGUGUGUUUGUUUGUUUGUUUGUGUUUGUGUGUGUACGAGAGACGCAUCGAUUAAUAAUGGUACGACCACUCGGACCGAGUUUAGUAGAGCUAGUGCGGUGUAUAAACCUGGGCAAAGUAACGGACUAUGGUAUUCUGUAACUAUAAUCGAACGUUCAAGGUAAAAAACAGAUCAAUGCCAGGCUCGGUGUGAACUUUCAAUUAAAAAUACUGUACAAGCAUUAUCCUGGCGAAAAUGUACAACCUGUUUUGAGCGAUCUGCUUUUCUUUCUCGCUUAAACGAAUGGAUCGACGACGGAUGAGAACGCGUCAAAGGAUCCGUGAAACACACAGAAAUGUACGUACACGAAGCUCUUGAUUCUUACUGUCAGAAAACACGUCUCGAGCGUUCAACGAAUUCCUUCUUCCCUUCGAGUGAAUACUUUAGACCUCCGCGGAUACGAGCGUCUCAGGUGUAAAGUUCUCGUUCGCGGAAAGUUCUCGUUUUCCGACGGCAGAGUCGAAUAUUCAACUAUUUUUUUACUUUCACUCUUAUACUUCGCUAGUGAAACUCUUGAAGCGAUUUCAUUGAGUUUUGCUUCUUUAAUUAUAUGUAUAUAUACUUGUACAUAUACAUAUAUAUAUAUUUAGCUGUAUAUAUAUAUAUGUAUAUUAUGUAUGUAUGUAUGUAUGUAUGUAUGUCCACGAAAUAAUAUUGCCUGUUUAUAUUCAUCGAGAUUAUAGAUAACGAAUAUACUCGCACAUGUACAGUGUAGUACAGCUUCGGUUUUUUCACUAAUUUUCAUGAGUGGUAAUUUAAUAGCUAAAAUAUAAACAAUAUAUUCAUUGAUAAUCAGUUUGCUGUGUUCUCAACUGACCUUUCAUCGUUUUUUUCUAUAUAUUCUCGUCUUAUCAGAACAAAAAUUCUAUAGUCUAUCACCUUAUAGACAUUUCUACUUGAAUAUAUUUAUGUACAAAACAGGACUGACGCCCUGUCCACUUACGAGCUAACAUCGUACGUGUUACUUAUAAACAAUUUUAUAGAAAAUUUGUGAUAAAACAACAUAAUAAUAGUUACU